GGAGAGCAGUAAAUGUUUUCUAAAAUUUGGAACCUUGACUAUAAGACUCCAUGAUCUUGUGAACCCUCACUCAGAAGUCUCUUUGGCACAAGUUCCCUGGGUUUUCAUCAUCUUCCCAAACAUGUCCUGAAGGCUGACAAUGGCAGAGUUUUACAACAACAGAAACACAAGACCAGCAGCCACGGCCUCCUAAAAAAAAAAAAAAAAAAAAAAAAAAAAAAAAAAAAAAAAAACUGUUAAACCCAGAUGAAAUUACUCAUUCCUGAGAAAGGAGUGAGACACCGAUCCUACAAAACAGCAUGAGAACACACAAUACAAGCUGUAUCCUAAUGCACAUGCACAAGGGGGAGGCAUUUACUAAAUUUUAAGUGCUUGAAUUAGGAACCUUAAUAAUACUCCUUCAACAAGGCUUUGGGUGCAACGUACUAGGGGUUUUGCAUGCCUCUUGAACAGUGCCACCUCAUCUCUAGUUGCUGUUUACCCUCAGAGCUCUGAUGUUGAGGGUAGCUAAGUGGAUUAAAAUAGCAAAACUUGCUGUUGCAUGCAAACGAGCCCUUAUUUAUGGAAGCUUUCGUGUACAACCACAGCUAAGUAAGCCUUCUUCAUCCAGCUUCUGGUGUUGCCAUGCAUGGUAUUUCAUAUGGCACAGAUAUCAAAGGCACCACCAUAAGCUCCUGGCCUCAGUUUUGCAAAAAAAAUGAAGGGUAUCAGACCCUUCUGAGCAAAUUCAGAAUACUUUAAAUUACAUAAUAGGAGAGAAUUCAUCAUAGCCCUUGAUAUUUAAGGGUUACUAACCAACUGAUACUCUCACAAUUUCCUCUGGUACCAUUUGGAAAAUUUGAAGUACAUAGAAAAAAAAAAUAAAGCAAAGCACAUGUGA